ACAGUUUUAAAAAAAUAAGCUGAAUGGGCCAACUCUCUUAGGUGCUAUGGGUUAGUUGGCCCACCCAUACUGGGUGAGACGGCCCAUUAAAAAAACUUAAUUUAACAUCGCUUUUUUGAUAAAAUUUUUCCACAUAGGUCACAGAGAUUCAAAUAUUUAGAGCAGCUUUCAUGGAACCACCUUGUGCAGUGAAUACAUUGCAUCCAGUCAUCAGUUUUAAUUGUGAGUUUGUAUAUAUCGCCACAUCCAAGGCAUUCUGUAGAAUCGUUUUCUUGUGAGCAAUCCUCAGAUUCGGAAACAUAGUCGUCUGAUGUGUCAGUAUCUGUGGAUGAGUCGUCUUUAUUUAAUUUAAGUUUUUUCGCUCUUGGUUUUUGGGUGGUUAGGUUUAAUUUAUUUUUCCCUUUUAUGUUUUUAGUUUGUUCCUUUACACAUGAAUCAUUUGACCCAUCAUCAUUAUUUUUUUGUUUUUGCUUGUUUAUAAUCGUUGUAUUUUUUUUUUUUAUUUUUUUUUCUUUUCUUUGUCUUCUUACGCGCGUUAGCCAAUUUUUGUUUUUGAAUAUUUUACGGAGAUGUUAGGACGCAAGCUACCUGUUUUACUCUUUUUCGUGCAUUUUCAAUAUUAGCUGAUGUGCUUGGAACAGGCGAAAAUUUGUUUAACAGUGUUCCGGGUGGCAUAUUCAGUAACAGCAGACGUGCUAGCUAUCGGGCGGGCGCUUCGGCUCUUUUCGGAUUUUUAGUAAUGACGGAUACAGUAGCCGGCAGUUUUUGAACUUCACACAGCAGCAGCAGACGUACUACGUACUGAGUCGAGUCGAGUCGUUACUGUUUUUACAUGUUAGCGAAUGCAUAAAAAUGGAUUUGUUACCAGACAAUUAUAAUUAUAAGAAAUUUGAUACUAACAAUCUCGUUAGAUAUAUACGUUAGACGUAAUUUAAACUUAAAAGCCGAAUGUUGAGAACUGGGUCCGUAAGCUGGAAGAUUUGAAAAAAGAAACAUGGACUAUUGUAAAAACAUGGCUGGGUAAAGACAAAAAGCAGACAAGAAAUUUAUUUAAAAGAAUCUACAAAUGCCAUAGAAAAACCAAGACUGAUGUUGCAAAAGCAAAGAAAAAAACUCGAAAUUUAAAUUGGCUUUUAUGCGUAGAUAAUCUAAGCGAGAGACCUUUAGGUUUGGAAGCCAAGAAAAGUAUUUUACAAUUAUAUGAAAAGGGUCAUUCAGUUAGUUCAGCUUAUCAUACUUAUUGUAUGAAUCUGAUGGAGGAACUAGGUAACGAAUAUCAAAAUCAAGUUUUAGACAGACAUAACAUUCCUACAAAAACUGACUUUCAAACACUUUGGCGAAAGCAUUUCAAAGAUAACUACGGACCUCGAACAAGAGAAGGUAUGUUAUUACAGUUAGAAAAUUGCCUUUGAGUAGCUUUAGAAGCCAAUAAGACAAUAUAUAAAAUUACUAGUCACGAAGGAGAUUAUUGUGUUGCCAUUUGCACCCCUAUAAUGCAAAGAGCUGCAAAGUUACCACAAGCUUCUGAAAUUAUAUUUGUGGAUGCGUCUGGAAACUGCGAUGUGCAAGACCAUAAAGUUUUUUUUUUGGACGCAGUCAGCAUGUGGUGGUAUUCCUUUGGGCUGUAUUUUAAGCAACAGUCAAAAGGCAGAUGUUUUCCGCUUGGGUGUUGCCGCUUUGUUUCAAAUCCUUCCCAUUAAGGUAACUCCUUCAGUCAUAAUAACUGAUGACGAUUUAGGUGAGCGUAAUGACUUAAAAUUAUUUUGGCCCAAUGCUACCACGCUUUUAUGCUCAUUCCAUGUUUUAAAGGCGUGUUGGAAGUGGAUUCAGACAUCUAAAAACAGUAUACCAAAAGAAGACGCUCAAAAAGUAUACACAAUAUUCCGCAAUAUUCUUACUUCACAAACAGAACAAGAAUUAAAUAAUGCAAAAAAGCAAUUUGAACAAUUUUCAAAAAUUCCAAAAUUUACUAAAUAUGUGGAAUCAUUGCUAGAACGAUAUGAGUUAUGGUGCUUAUUUUAUAGACGCAACUUGAUGAUUCGGGGAACAAAAACAAAUAAUUAUAUUGAAGUGACAUUUAGGUUGCUUAAAGAUAUAGCUUUAGAAUGAACUAAAGCCUUUAAUUUGGCGCAAUUAUCUGAUUUUAUAAUAAAUAAUUUUUAAAAUUAUUAUAAACAGAGAAAAGACUUUUAGAUGUGAUCUUAAACAGAGUAUCAAAGGCCACUAAAUUACGAUACACUCAUAAUAAUAAAAAUAUUUUAGAGUCAACUAUUGUUAAUAGAGGUAACUUGGAGUUUGGCAUAACCUCUUCUAAAGACAAAAAUGUUACAUACAUAGUUGAUAUGAUGUCUUGCAAAUGCAAUUGUUAUGAAGGUUACAAUGGAAAACACUGCAAGCAUCAGGCCGCUGCAGCAAAAAAAGAAAAUAUUAUUUCAUGUAUAAACACUUUAUCUCUUGAUAUGAAAUUCAGGCUUUAUGAAGUAGCAUGUAAAGAAAGUGCAAAUCCUGAAAUAUUUCUUCCUCUUCAAGGAGAUGUCGAUACUUUAACCAUAAGUCAGCCUACACAACCUUGUGAAUUCAUUUCGACAUUUCAAGGUGAAGAAAGUGGAGGUUUCGCAAGUACUUCAAAUGUUAAUGUUCCUACAAUUAAAGAACUUAAUGAUUUAAAAGAAAAUUGGAAAUCAUUUUCUAAAGAAAUCUUGACAUUUCUUGAUAAUGAUUCGAUAGCCUAUUAUCCAGCGGUUACGAACUUCCUAAAAAAUAGGCAAAAAUGUGCUAAAAGUAAUAAUUCGCUUUUAUCAGGCUUGCAUAAUUCUUUUAAGUACCAUGGAAUAACUCCCAAAUGCAAACGUCUACGUAUAAGAAAAGGAAAAAUAAUAAGUGUGCAGCCAACAAGUACUGCUAGAAGAAAAUCGGCGAUGGGUGGCAAAAAACAAUCUUCAGCUGGUAGGAAGGUGAAAAGCUUGGUAAAAAGAAAGUCUAAAACACCCCAUUCUCUACAAGAAUGCGUUAACAUGAAUAUAGGCGUAGGUGAAAAUAAUUUUAAAAAAUAAGUUUAAAGUAUGAAGUUUAAAAGUUUAUUUUACGUUACUUUAUUACUUUUUAUUCAAUGAUAAAUAUGAUAUUUGAUUAUGUAUAAUAUAAUAAAUUAGUUACUAAA